GAAUAAGUCUGUGAAAGCUGGCAUGGAUUACAUUUAUAAAGUCACAGUGGUGGGGAUGGAUCUGAAACAGGACUCUGACAUCUAUGACAUGAAGGUGGAGCUGGUGCUGAAAGAAGGUACUCUUUAUUAAUUUGUGUCCAUCUUAAGUAUAUAGCCGGCACUUAUUAUUUUUACUAUUAUUGUUACCCGUGAAAUGAUAACAUUAACUUGGAACUUGAUUUUGUUCUUUAUUCCACUAGUGCAGAACUCACACCGUACACAUUUUGGUUGAUUGGUUGUUGUUUACUUGUAGUUUAGAAUUCUUUCAUGUUUAUAUGUGCAUACAUGUGCGGUCAAACUGUAAAAACAAAACAGUUCACAAUUAAUAUUUAGCAAUGUUUCACAUAUCACAUUUGCAUUAAACAUUAUCGCAUGUAAUACAA